rnacentral:tRNA from 1 species
GCCACUAUGGCCGAGUGGUUUAAGGCGGCACAUUUAAGCUGUGCUAUCGAAAGAUGCGUGCGUUCGAACCGCACUGGUGGCA